rnacentral:rRNA from 1 species
UACGUAGGUGGCGAGCGUUGUCCGGAUUUACUGGGCGUAAAGGAUGCGUAGGCGGCUAUUUAAGUGAGAUGUGAAAUACCCGAGCUUAACUUGGGUGCUGCAUUUCAAACUGGAUAUCUAGAGUGUGGGAGAGGAGAAUGGAAUUCCUAGUGUAGCAGUGAAAUGCGUAGAUAUCGAGAGGAACACCAGUGGCGAAGGCGAGUCCCUGGACAGGUCCUGACGCUGAGGCACGAAAGCUAGGGGAGCAAACAGG